GAGAACCUUGCAGAAGCAGCAGCCGGCUGAGAAGGCGAAAGCGCUGUCGGAGGCUCUGCAUAUAUUAUGCAAAGCAGCCGAAUCCCCUGCCUGCCUUCCCGGCCAGGGCGAGUGGGGGGCGCCCGCCCCUCGGUCUAGGUGAAUACAUUAUGCUAAUGAGCCCCCGCGAGAGGUCCUGGCAAGCGCUGGAAGGCGGCGUGCGCGGAGAACAAUCCGGAGAAGCCAGCAAGCGGAGGAGGCGACGGCUCCUGUUCCUGACAGCCGCUCCUGAGAUCGCCUCGGCGGGCAAAGAAGGGGGCUGCAAGGACCGGCGGAGGAGGGGGCCGAGACAUCGCUGCCGCAAAUUGAGGUAGAGGGGGAUUCUUGGAGUGCACCAAGAACUAGAAAGAACAAGAGCGGAAAGAAGCAACAAGUCUGUCUUUGCGCGCCAUCGAGGGGAAGAAACUCAUACCUGGGAAUAGGGAGCGGGCUGAGAUAUAGAUUGGGCGGAGAGCUCUUCUACGAAGGUCCCACGUUUGUGGGGCAACCCUAGGAAAUCUUGCCAUGAAGCCUGCGACGCGCGCCGCAUUUCUGCACUGAAAGUUGCGCGCCUGGCUUGGAUUUUCCGCUUUGCCUUUGAUUGCUGUUCCCGGUCUUUUGGUGGCAAAAGAGGAAGAGAGGAAGGAGUGAAGGAGGAAAGGGAGCCCUUCCCUUCCCAUCUCAGCAUGGUGAGCAAAAACCCCGACGCCGGGGGUCAGGAUGCCAAGGGGAAGGUGGGCUGCUUCGGGGACCAGCGCUGCUGCCCCAACUGGACUGCGCCCCUGGCCUGGCUCCUGCCCGCCCUCCUCCUCUCUCUCAUCUCCAUCGCUGCCUCUGUCUAUCUGGGAGUGAAGACCGGUGACCUUCAAGUCAGGGUCUCCGCCAUCGAGAGUGCCCGAGGGGACAUAUCUGCUGAUGCUGCUUCUUAUCUGACACUGCCCGGCUAUUCUUUGGAUCAGCUGAAUUCACUGGUACAGGACAAAGUGGAGCGGCUUCUGGCUCAGAAGUCCUAUGAGCAUAUGGCAAAAAUCAGAACAGCAAGAGAAGCUACUCCAGAAUGCAACUGCCCACCAGGUCCUCCUGGUAAACGGGGUAAACGAGGAAGAAGAGGAGAGAUUGGACCCCCUGUAAGUACAUCUCAUAUCCUAUUGGAUCUUCUGUAUUAUCAAGAAUGGGGCAGAAAGUCUUAAAGAGCUGGGUCAACCAGGGCGAAAUGGCUACCCGGUAACUGUCCUGCCAUAUAUUUAUGGAAUGCAUGCUCCACUUUCAAACCAUUAUUUUCUCCCCUGUCUUUGUCUGUGGCUGUAUACUUUUCAGUGAGUUAUAGAAAUUAUCCUUCCUUGUUGUCUCCAGUUGAAUUCAGAAUGACACUUUCUCUGUAUUUUACUUAGCAGAUCUUUACCCAGAAUCUAGCAAGUAAUGCUGAUUCCAUAAUAUAUGCUUGGAAGAUGAUAUAAUCUUUAUUUGAAUUUCUCUUUAUUGAACUUGCAUAUUCUUGAAUAGAGGUGCCAUUUUUCCAUCAUGAUAUAAAACAUUACUUAAAGUACAUUCAUCUCAUUUAUCAGUUUACUUUAUGCAGAUGUCAUUUGGCUGUCUCAUUGAAUCUCCCUUGGUAGGAUUUUACUGAGAAAUUAUCCAGCUUAAUUAUAUGUGCAAUCAGCCAUGUUAACCCCAGUGCUACUUGGAACUAGCAGUUCUUUGUAAAACCUACUAAAAUUGCACAUUUUAUAAUAAUUUACCUCUGUGCUAUUUACACGUGCAUGUUUAAUUUUUUUUCUAAUAAUUUUAAGUAUAUGGAAUAAUGCAUCUCUCAAGGGUAAGAAUAAAGAAUACAACAUAUCCUUUCAUGUGGGAUAUGCUGUAUUGUGUCAUCCCUGUGUGAAAUUUUCAGUGUAAAUGCAUUACUAAAUACGUGUUAAAAUAUAAUAAAAGCA
rnacentral:lncRNA from 11 species